rnacentral:rRNA from 1 species
AGAUAGCCUUCGAGGGUGAUACACAGGUACUGCAUGGCCGUCGUCAGCUCGUGCGUGAGAUGUAGGGUUAAGUCCCGAAACGAGCGCAACCCCUAUCCCAUGUUACAAGUGUCUUGGGAAACUGCCUCGGUAAAACGAGGAGGAAGGUGGGGAUGACGUCUGGUCCGCAUAGUCCUUAUGUCCUGGGCUACACACGCGCUACAAUGGUCGGUACAAUGGGCAGCCAAGCCGUAAGGCGGAGCUAAUCCUGUAAAACCGAUCUCAGUUCGGAUUGUGGGCUGAAACUCGCCCACAUGAAGUUGGAUUCGCUAGUAAUCGUGGAUCAGCCAUGCCACGGUGAAUACGUUCCCGGGUCUU